AUCAACAGAGUUCAGUUUUUCUAUCCACAGGUUGCCUGAGUUUCCCUUGCUGAUGAUUACACAGUUUAUGUUAAUAGUCCCACUAGCGCCGCUCUGGGAUCAGUGCAGUGCCUGCAUAUGUGUGCAUGUGUCAAGCGCCUGGCGGGGUCGGAGGGCAUCGAUGGCCUAUUCAAAUAGUCCAAAGAAAAUAGCGGCGUUUUUAGGCUGGCAUGGGAGAUAGUAAACAUAUCUGACCGGUGUGCUUGCAGCAACUGAGGGCUUCAGCCCGCCGAGAACAUGAGCUUGAGACUGAAGAAGCGCAACGGGUAUCCGUGAAGGCUACGUAGGAGAGCCAAAACUUUACUUCGGCUCAUGCGCAAGCAUGUGAGAGGAGGUGGUUUACAGAUGGAUGGCAUUGAAGUGAACGCCACCCACACGCACACAUGUUGCGUCGCAACACAUUGACUGCUGAGAUCAGCUCCACUUUACCUCCCAUGACUCUAAACAGAAAUGAAUCCCAGUUAGGAAACCACUUGUUUCUGACAUUUAACUCCGAAGAAGUUGCAGAGUUUCAUCAACAUCAGGUCAACAAUCUCCUCCUCUUCUGAUGGCUGUAAAAACAGAAAGCAUGUGUUCUCUUGAUGAAGACAGACAGCGCACUCCAGCUGAGGACUAUGAUCGCCAACUCCAGCAGGUUCCACUUUCCUUUGAAAUAAGCCCAUUUCUGGCUCCUCAUUAGCUUUCCCUGUGGACACCAAGAGGAGCUUAUGUCAUACAUUCCAGCAGGCUCCAACCUGGGCCAUAGGAGCUAAUGUCCUCUGCCUCCCAGGAGUAAGAAGCAUGGCAGUCUGGCACAGACUUCUGCAUGGUGCGAGCAAGAUGGCACGUGUUUUUUUGCACUCUCACCUGGCGGAGACGAG